GUCUAUGGCCAUACCACCCUGAACAUGCCCGAUCUCAUCUGAUCUCAGAAGCUAAGCAGGGUGGGGCCUGGUUAGUACUUGAUGGGAGAUAUGAUUAAAAGGGGCGGGCAUUUGGCA
rnacentral:rRNA from 1 species